GUCUGUGGCUGUAACACCUUGAACACACCCAAUCUCAUCAGGUCUUGGAAGGCUAAGAAGGGUCAUGCCUGAAUAGCACUUAGAUAAAAGGCCUUAAAUGGAGGAACAUGCUUCAUUCACC
rnacentral:rRNA from 1 species